rnacentral:rRNA from 1 species
AUACGUAGGGGGCGAGCGUUGUCCGGAAUGAUUGGGCGUAAAGGGCGCGUAGGCGGCCCGGUAAGUCUGGAGUGAAAGUCCUGUUUUUAAGAUGGGAAUUGCUUUGGAUACUGUCGGGCUUGAGUGCAGGAGAGGUAAGUGGAAUUCCCAGUGUAGCGGUGAAAUGCGUAGAGAUUGGGAGGAACACCAGUGGCGAAGGCGACUUACUGGACUGUAACUGACGCUGAGGCGCGAAAGUGUGGGGAGCAAACAGGAUUAGAUACCCUGGUAGUCCACACUGUAAACGAUGAAUGCUAGGUGUAGGGGGUAUCGACCCCUUCUGUGUCGCAGUCAACACGAUAAGCAUUCCGCCUGGGGAGUACGGCCGCAAGGUUGAAACUCAAAUGAAUUGACGGG